rnacentral:rRNA from 1 species
CAGCAGCCGCGGUAAUACGAAGGGGGCUAGCGUUGCUCGGAAUGACUGGGCGUAAGGGGCGCGUAGGCGGCGAUCAAAGUCAGGCGUGAAAUUCCUGGGCUCAACCUGGGGGCUGCGCUUGAUACUUGGUUGCUUGAGUGGGGAAGAGGGUAGUGGAAUUCCCAGUGUAGAGGUGAAAUUCGUAGAUAUUGGGAAGAACACCGGUGGCGAAGGCGGCGACCUGGUCCUUGACUGACGCUGAGGCGCGAAAGCGUGGGGAGCAAACAGGAUUAGAUACCCGUGUAGUCCCUGUCUCUUAUAC